CCUACGGGAGGCAGCAGUCGAGAAUCAUUCACAAUGGGGGCAACCCUGAUGGUGCGAUGCCGCGUGGAGGAAUGAAGGUCUACGGAUUGUAAACCCCUGUCAUGUGGGAGCAAAUUAAAAAGAUAGUACCACAAGAGGAAGAGCCGGCUAACUCUGUGCCAGCAGCCGCGGUAAUACAGAGGUCUCAAGCGUUGUUCGGAAUCACUGGGCUUAAAGCGUGCGUAGGCUGUUUCGUAAGUCGUGUGUGAAAAGCGCGGGCUCAACCCGCGGACGGCACAUGAUACUGCGAGACUAGAGUAAUGGAGGGGGAACCGGAAUGCUCGGUGUAGCAGUGAAAUGCGUAGAGAUC
rnacentral:rRNA from 1 species